GAUCCUGGCUCAGGAUGAACGCUAGCUACAGGCUUAACACAUGCAAGUCGAGGGGCAGCAUGUUGGUUGCUUGCAACCAAUGAUGGCGACCGGCGCACGGGUGAGUAACGCGUAUCCAACCUACCCUUGUCCAUCGGAUAACCCGUCGAAAGGCGGCCUAACACGAUAUGCGGUUCACAGCAGGCAUCUAACGUGAACGAAAUGUGAAGGAGAAGGAUGGGGGAUGCGU
rnacentral:rRNA from 1 species